rnacentral:rRNA from 1 species
UGGGGAAUAUUGGACAAUGGGCGCAAGCCUGAUCCAGCCAUGCCGCGUGAGUGAUGAAGGCCCUAGGGUUGUAAGCUCUUUCGCCAGGGACGCGGUACCUGGAUAAGAAGCCCCGGCUAACUUCGUGCCAGCAGCCGCGGUAAUACGAAGGGGGCUAGCGUUGUUCGGAAUCACUGGGCGUAAAGCGCAUGCAGGCGGAUCGCUAAGUCGGGGGUGAAAGCCCGAGGCUCAACCUCGGAACUGCCUUCGAUACUGGCGAUCUUGAGUCCGGGAGAGGUGAGUGGAACUCCGAGUGUAGAGGUGAAAUUCGUAGAUAUUCGGAAGAACACCAGUGGCGAAGCGGCUCACUGGCCCGGACUGACGCUGAGAUGCGAAAGCGUGGGGAGCAAACAGGAUUAGAUACCCCUGUAGU